UACAGAGGGUGCGAGCGUUAAUCGGAAUUACUGGGCGUAAAGCGUGCGUAGACGGUAGCGUAAGUCAGAUGUGAAAGCCCCGGGCUCAACCUGGGAAUUGCAUUUGAGACUGCUCUGCUCGGGUGCGGAAGAGGGAAGCGGAAUUUCCGGUGUAGCGGUGAAAUGCGUAGAUAUCGGAAGGAACACCAGUGGCGAAAGCGGCUUCCUGGUCCAGCACCGACGUUCAGGCACG
rnacentral:rRNA from 1 species